rnacentral:rRNA from 1 species
AACGAACGCUGGCGGCAUGCCUAACACAUGCAAGUCGAACGAACCCUUCGGGGUUAGUGGCGCACGGGCGCGUAACGCGUGGGAAUCUGCCCUUUGCUUCGGAAUAACAGUUAGAAAUGACUGCUAAUACCGGAUGAUGUCUUCGGACCAAAGAUUUAUCGGCAAAGGAUGAGCCCGCGUAGGAUUAGGUAGUUGGUGGGGUAAAGGCCUACCAAGCCGACGAUCCUUAGCUGGUCUGAGAGGAUGAUCAGCCACACUGGGACUGAGACACGGCCCAGACUCCUACGGGAGGCAGCAGUGGGGAAUAUUGGACAAUGGACGCAAGUCUGAUCCAGCAAUGCCGCGUGAGUGAUGAAGGCCUUAGGGUUGUAAAGCUCUUUUACCAGGGAUGAUAAUGACAGUACCUGGAGAAUAAGCUCCGGCUAACUCCGUGCCAGCCGCCCCGUAAGAC